CUUUUUGAACGAUGUGAUAUCGUGAAGUUUUAAAUGCACAUGGUCCAACAUGGCGAGGAGAAAACAAACUCGCAGAAAAAAGAAUAUUAAAGAUCCAGACACGAAAACAGACGCGGAUAAAAGCGAAAAGAAGGCAGAGGCUGUAGACAAGAAUGAGAAUUUAACUGAAGAGGCUCCAGCAAGCCCCGAUUUCCCUCUUUCAUCGCAAAAAAGCGAAAAGGAAGCAGGUGAAGUUGAUGAGAAAUCUUCAGGUGAUUUGAAACGUAAAAGAGAGACUUCUGACGUUGAGUUAAAGCCUGAAGAAAGCAAGAAAACGAAAAACAAAGAACAGAAGCAUCGUUUAAAGGAGUUCUCGUUGAAGAUCGAAAGAUGCGAUUCUUGACGUGUCUACAAGAGGAAUGCUGACCAGCUUUCUGAAGAGUUGCAGGAAGCAUUUCCUAAUGUUGAAAUAAAAAUAAAUCCUAAAAAACCAAGAUCUAAAAGUUUUGAAGUUAUGUUGUACAAAGAUGAUGAUACAGAGGUUUUAAUCUGGACUGGAAUCAAGAAAGGUCCUCCAAGAAAGUUGAAAUUCCCAGACAUUCAAACGGUCAUUUCCGAGAUUGAGAAACAACUGAAUGAGGUGUAAGUAGGCAAAUAUAAAUAAUGUGUUGUGUUUAAAGUAAAAUAUCCAGCCAACAUAAUAGUUAAUAGUUCAGCAAGAGGUAAUAGUUGGUACAAAAGAAUAUUGAUGAUAGAUUGUGGUGAAAUUGUUUCAAAGCCGCAAUCUUGAUGUAUGUGUAUUUUUCUGGUACUUCAUAUGAUUUAUGUUGAAAGACACUAAAAUUAUGAAUAGAUUACGUUAUAUUUAUAUUGAAUUAUAAUUUGAGAUUUUGUUUAAACAUCUUGGAUUUUAACAGUAUCUUUGUUCUUCUGCUUAUCUAAAGUCAAAACAAGUAGAAAUUUUGUACUUGUUUUGGCUCUCAGACCAACCGUGUUUCUGUCCAAGGUUUAUCCUUGGUCCCUAGCAGGAAGUCUAGAUAGCGUUAUCCACCGGAUGCUAAUGCCUUAACCUUUGUUAAAAUGCAUGAAAGACGAUAUAACUACAAAUUGGAAGCUGAGAAACUAAAAACGCAACUAGAAUAAUCCCAACUUUAAACAUUAAUUCAGGUUAUACUGAGCACAG